rnacentral:rRNA from 1 species
CAGCAGCCGCGGGAAUACAGAGGGUGCGAGCGUUAAUCGGAUUUACUGGGCGUAAAGCGUGCGUAGGCGGCUUCUUAAGUCGGAUGUGAAAUCCCUGAGCUUAACUUAGGAAUUGCAUUCGAUACUGGGAAGCUAGAGUAUGGGAGAGGAUGGUAGAAUUCCAGGUGUAGCGGUGAAAUGCGUAGAGAUCUGGAGGAAUACCGAUGGCGAAGGCAGCCAUCUGGCCUAAUACUGACGCUGAGGUACGAAAGCAUGGGGAGCAAACAGGAUUAGAGACCCCCGUAGUCCCUGUCUUUAUACA